rnacentral:rRNA from 1 species
UUCCAGAGAUGGAUUGGUGCCUUCGGGAACUGUGAGACAGGUGCUGCAUGGCUGUCGUCAGCUCGUGUUGUGAAAUGUUGGGUUAAGUCCCGCAACGAGCGCAACCCUUAUACUUUGUUGCCAGCGGUUAGGCCGGGAACUCAAAGGAGACUGCCAGUGAUAAACUGGAGGAAGGUGGGGAUGACGUCAAGUCAUCAUGGCCCUUACGACCAGGGCUACACAC